rnacentral:rRNA from 1 species
CCUACGGGCGGCAGCAGUGGGGAAUAUUGCACAAUGGGGGGAACCCUGAUGCAGCGACGCCGCGUGGGUGAAGGAGUAUUUCGGUAUGUAAAGCCCUAUCAGCAGGGAAGAACAAUGACGGUACCUGACUAAGAAGCACCGGCUAAAUACGUGCCAGCAGCCGCGGUAAUACGUUGGGUGCAAGCGGUCUCCGGAUUUACUGGGUGUAAAGGGAGCGCAGGCGGCGCGUUAAGCCUGGUGUGAACGCCCGCGGACAAACCGCGGGACUGCAUUGGGAACUGGCGCGCUGGAGUGCCGGAGGGGUAGGCGGAAUUCCUAGUGUAGCGGUGAAAGGCGUAGAUAUUAGGAGGAACACCAGUGGCGAAGGCGGCCUACUGGACGGUGACUGACGCUGAGGCUCGAAAGCGUGGGGAGCAAACAGGAUUAGAUACCCUUGUAGUC